UACGUAGGUGGCAAGCGUUGUCCGGAAUUACUGGGUGUAAAGGGCGUGUAGGCGGGACUGCAAGUCAGAUGUGAAAUUCCCAGGCUCAACCUGGGGGUUGCAUCUGAAACUGUGGUGCUUGAGUGCUGGAGAGGAAAGCGGAAUUCCUAGUGUAGCGGUGAAAUGCGUAGAUAUUAGGAAGAACACCGGUGGCGAAGGCGGCUUUCUGGACAGUAACUGACGCUGAGGCGCGAAAGCGUGGGGAGCAAACAGG
rnacentral:rRNA from 1 species